UUUUGUGAUUUGUUCGGUGAGCUCAAUAAAUCCUAAUAUUUAUUUUGAUCUUUUUCAUUUACUACUGUUUUUUGGCCGCUAGUUCAAUUUUUAUGUAUGAAUCCCAAGUUUUGUUAAUAAAGUUUAAAAAAAAAAAAAAGACUCAACAUCCGGGUUUUCCUGCCCACCGGAGGCAUUUGAUCCUUGGCUCUUUAACGCGACGGAGCGUCUGCGACAAUGUAAGGUAAGAAAAAUUACUUUAUAUACUGGCAGAGCAGGCGGCUGCCAAGGGCAGCAAUUUAAAGGAGGCACUGGCUCAGGGCUUCGAGAAAAAGAAUAAUUCUGCGGUUUAUUAGCUGUUAUAUGACGGUGUUUGAACGGCAAAUUCGCACCCCCUGCAGCUGCGCGUGCUCUCAGGCGCUGCUAUCACGCACAGUGCACGUGCUUAGCUGAGCCACCUGCAUGCUGAGAAGGCAAAGGGGAGGGGGGAGGGGGAGAGUUCAUCUCUGUGUUGCUCCCAAAUUUAGAAGGCAGGGCGGAGGAUCAACUUCUUCACAUUUUAUACAGGCAGAUAAAAUUGUAAAUUUUUUUGUUAAUGUUUUUUUUAUGAAAUGACAAAAAUAAACACACCUGGAUGGUCAUUAAAAUGAUGCGUCUUAAAUUGAAAAACAGAAAUAUUUAAGAUAUUAAUAUUUCAGAACAUAAAAUUUAGCUGUUUGAAAAUCAAAGGUUUAAAGAAAGAAAGUCAAUUUGCACGUAAUUUUCUGCGGCCAGUGUUAAACUUUUUUCUUAGUCGCCCAGACUAAGUGCGGCUGUCUCUGCAGCUCACAGCUCCACCAGGGGAUGGGUCAAAUGUGGAGAACACAUUUACACAUUUAGGAGCGUGACAGUUAAUGGGACUUUAAGUUUAAAUACGUGCGGCCAACAAAAGAAAAUCCAGAAUCCAACCUUGGACUCACUUAAAAUACGUGCGGCCAAUGCAGUAAUGUGAUCUUGGCUGCAUGUACUAUGUGGGGCCAAUAUGAAUUUCCAUCAAUUUCUAUGCUGGUCGCACGGAAAUAUGUGAAUUACAUCAGCCUUAAAAAAUUCAGUAAUGAAGGUAAGACAGUUUAAAAAGAAUUUAAAUUCCCAAAUUUCUAAAAUAGAUCAAAAAAGCUAAAAUAUAUGACAAUUUCCCAAUUAAAUUGUUGACGGUUUAAGUUGUUACGAAAUAUAAUAGUUGAUGUAAACUCUGACUAGUUAGCAAGGUGACUAUUUCAAAUUAAGGUAACUAGACACAGCUGCAGGGAGUUUUUUACUCCUGAUUUUACUCUUAAACAAUAAUAGCUGUUAGACUUGUUUCAUCUCUAACACAAAUUCAGCACACAACAUGGUGUGGGACAUUUGAAUGGUAAUGUACUUGUCUAUCAAACGCAAAUUGACUUUUUUGCUCUGUUCGUUACAACAUGGUAAAGGAAACAAAACAGCUUUAAAUAGAUUUAAUAUUAGUAUUUAUAUUUGAAGAUGCUCUGCUGUUACUUUAGUUGGUUAUUAUCCAAAUUCCUAUAAUUAAUCACAAGCAGAGAGUUUACAUGCUUUUUUUGGCUAAAUUAUCAGAUAAGGUUAUUGGAGAGGUUGUCCAUUACGGUAAAAAAAUUUCUAAAUUGUAAAUUCUGUUUAAAUAAUAGGAAGCAUUGAUAAUUUUGUUAUGUAUUUUGGAAACUUAUUGUUUCUUAUUUUUUCUGUAAAUGAAUGCAGGAACCAAAUGACACCAUGUCUAGAAGGAGAACCAGACUUAGUCCUGAGGCUGAAGCUAUUCAGUUUAUUUUAUCUGGAAGUGACAAGACUUGUCUAAAGGUCCAAUGGAUCAGUGACUUUAAAGGGCGUGGUGUAUUUGCCUGUGCACCAAUUGAAAAGGGGUCUUUUGUGGCUGAGUACCGUGGGGAGUUGAUCUCAAAAAAUGAACGGGACAAGAGACAGAAAAAGUACUCUGAGAAGCAAAAUGCAUUCCUGUUUGAUUUUGAGUGGAACAGUGAUAUAUGGUGUAUCGACGCAUCCCAUGAAGAUGGCUCCUUUGGCCGGCUGGUUAAUGAUGCCCAUAAAUCCCCAAACUGCAAAAUGAAAAAGUUAACUGUUCAGGGUAAACCUCAUCUUUGCUUGUUUGCAAUUGAAAACAUCCAGGAACAAAGUGAAAUAACAUACAACUAUGGGGACUCUCAGUGGCCAUGGCGA